rnacentral:tRNA from 1 species
GCAGGGAUAGCUCAGUGGUAGAGUGACUGUUUAGCAUGUGCAAGGUCCUGGGUUCAAUCCCCAGUACCUUCA